CAAACCCCCGGCAGAAAUCACCUGGACAUUCAAUGGAAAGAACACAAGCGGAGAGACGAGGGUAGUUGGGACGAGAUUGCACAACACAAGCAGCACGUUCAUCGUGCCGUCGUUUCAGCCUGGUCAGCGGGGGAAUCUGACAUGCACAGCAACUGGGGCGGAAGGGAAGUUGACUACGGGUAUUCUGUUGCUCGGCAACUAUGGACAAACAGACCCAUCAAAACAGAGUCAGUUGACGUUGAUCUUAAAUGCGGUCGGUGUCACGGUGGCACUCUUGCUGAUUCUUGUUGCGGCCAUCGUCUUCUGGAGACGCCUAAAGAAUAACAUUCCCCCCGAUGGAAACCAG